rnacentral:rRNA from 1 species
UAGCGAAGGGGGCUAGCGUUGCUCGGAAUUACUGGGCGUAAAGCGCACGUUAGGCGGAUUGUUAAGUCGGGGGUGAAAUCCUGGAGCUCAACUCCAGAACUGCCUUCGAUACUGGCGAUCUCGAGUUCGGGAGAGGUGAGUGGGAACUGCGAGUGUAGAGGUGAAAUUCGUAGAUAUUCGCAAGAACACCAGUGGCGAAGGCGGCUCACUGGCCCGAUACUGACGCUGAGGUGCGAAAGCGUGGGGAGCAAACAGG